rnacentral:rRNA from 1 species
CAGUCGCCGCGGUAAUACGGAGGGCGCGAGCGUUACCCGGAUUUACUGGGCGUAAAGGGCGUGUAGGCGGCCUGGGGCGUCCCAUGUGAAAGGCCACGGCUCAACCGUGGAGGAGCGUGGGAUACGCUCAGGCUAGAGGGUGGGAGAGGGUGGUGGAAUUCCCGGAGUAGCGGUGAAAUGCGCAGAUACCGGGAGGAACGCCGAUGGCGAAGGCAGCCACCUGGUCCACUUCUGACGCUGAGGCGCGAAAGCGUGGGGAGCAAACAGGAUUAGAUACCCCCGUAGUCCCUGUCUCUUAUAC